rnacentral:miRNA from 1 species
CAACCUGCCUCCACCGACACCUC